AUUCUUGCGUAAGGGCAGUAUCAUAAGCAAUGAGGGCAACCGAGCUGUGAUUAUUGCUAGUUGAAAACUUUAACCAAUACCCCGCCAUGGGGACGUGAAAUACCGUCCACUACGGCAAUUUUUGAAAGUCCGAGAGGAC
rnacentral:snRNA from 1 species